rnacentral:rRNA from 1 species
AUACGGAGGGUGCAAGCGUUAAUCGGAAUUACUGGGCGUAAAGCGCACGUAGGUGGUUUGGUAAGUUGGAUGUGAAAUCCCCGGGCUCAACCUGGGAAUGGCAUCCAAGACUGCCAAGCUAGAGUCUGGUAGAGGGUGGCGGAAUUCCGGGUGUAGGAGUGAAAUCCGUAGAUAUCCGGAGGAACACCAGUGGCGAAGGCGACUACCUGGACCGAUACUGACACUGAGGAGCGAAAGCGUGGGGAGC